UUGAUUCAAAUGCCAACCAUCUUUUCUCUUGGCCUUCGGUUUAGAGGUAAUAUUCAUUAACGUUUAGAAUUUACAAACGUAAGAUAACCUCAGACAUCUUGAAGUACAGAGUCACAGAAUGUCUAACUCCAAUGCAAUACUUUGUGAGCUUUUCAAGGAGAUUCACAGUUUUCAUAAGUCGUAGACUCUGUCAAUUGGUAAUAAACGAUUACAGACAUUGAUGCUAAAGGCCUUAACAAUUUAGUUGAAACAUUUUAAGAGACAUUACCAAAGAAUUAAAGAAUCACCCUUUGAAGUUAUUAAGCUACGCCUAGUAAUAGUGUAAUAAUUACGAAUGCUUCAAAAAGAAAGAUUGACGUGUGACAGGAAAAUUGUAUGUCCUAAAUUUCUACAGCAAAAGAUUGACGAGAAAAGCAUACAGAUAAUUAAUUUUAUCAUACCAAAGAUCUAUCUGGUUUGCUACGGUUUCUCAUUCAUUCAAUAUUAGUUUUGACAGAACACAGGAACUAUGUGUCCUAGUAAUGACAGAAGACGAUAUUAUUUUACCUUCAACAUCAACAAGUUGCUCUUUCACAGUAGUCUCGGGUUGCUCUGUCUUCAAUUUUUCUCCAUCAACCAUACCCCCACUGGAACCUAGAACAAGAAUAUAGACCAUUAGAUAUAGCCUUGUUACCUGAGACUAAAAUGAUGAAUAUAUGUAUAAUUUGAGCCGAUUAGAGCAAAAACCUUACUUACGUCUUACAGAAGAUCGCUUCAUCUUUAAUGUAUCGUGUAAAGACUGAUGCCAACUGAUUUUUUUCAGGUACCGAGAAUGGUUAUAUAGAGAAGAGAGCCGGUAAAUCAAAACACAGACUGAAUCUCAAUCUACUUAGCUGUUGCUGUGUGCCUAAUCUAGAUUUAUGAUCAACCGAUAUUGUGACACAGACUGAAUCUCAAUCUACCUAGCUGUUGCUGUGUGCCUAAUCUAGAAUUAUGGUCAACCAAUAUUGUGACACAGACUGAAUCUCAAUCUACCUAGCUGUUGCUGUGUGCCUAAUCUAGAAUUAUGGUCAACCAAUAUUGUGCUUUCAACUUGGCUGUCAGUAAAGAGCUUCUUCUCUUGGAAAAUCUUUUCCAGUUCUUUGGAGUCAGACUUUGUCUUCAGAAGCCACUGCUCCAGGAUAUCUAGCGGAUAGUUUAACAGUUUACACACGGCAAGCACGGUUUCCUGUUGCAUAGGA